rnacentral:rRNA from 2 species
UGGGGAAUAUUGCACAAUGGGCGGAAGCCUGAUGCAGCGACGCCGCGUGGGGGAUGACGGCCUUCGGGUUGUAAACCUCUUUCAGUGCAGAACAAGGCUCUUUGUGGGUUGAGGGUAUGCGCAGAAGAAGCGCCGGCUAACUACGUGCCAGCAGCCGCGGUAAUACGUAGGGCGCGAGCGUUGUCCGGAUUUAUUGGGCGUAAAGAGCUCGUAGGCGGUUGGUCGCGUCUGCUGUGAAAUCCUCUGGCUUAACUGGGGGCGUGCAGUGGGUACGGGCGGGGUGGAGUGCGGUAGGGGGGACUGGAAUUCCGGGUGUAGCGGUGGAAUGCGCAGAUAUCAGGAGGAACACCGGUGGCGAAGGCGGGUCUCUGGGCCGUUACUGACGCUGAGGAGCGAAAGCAUGGGGAGCGAACAGG